rnacentral:rRNA from 1 species
UACAGAGGGUGCAAGCGUUGUUCGGAAUUAUUGGGCGUAAAGCGCGUGUAGGCGGCUUUGCAAGUCGGGUGUGAAAGCCCUCAGCUCAACUGAGGAAGUGCGCCCGAAACUGCAGAGCUUGAGUGCCGGAGAGGGUGGCGGAAUUCCCGGUGUAGAGGUGAAAUUCGUAGAUAUCGGGAGGAACACCGGUGGCGAAGGCGGCGACCUGGGUAGAUACUGACGCUGAGGCGCGAAAGCGUGGGGAGCAAACAGG